GCCAGAGUGUUGGAAUUGGUAGACAAGCACGUCUUAGAAGCGUGUGCUUUAUCGCGUGAGGGUUCGAGCCCCUCCUCUGGCACAA
rnacentral:tRNA from 1 species